CCUUCGGGUACGAAUUGAGACAGGUGGUGCAUGGUUGUCGUCAGCUCGUGUCGUGAGAUGUUGGGUUAAGUCCCGCAACGAGCGCAACCCUUGUGUUUAGUUGCAAACAGGUCAAGCUGUGCACUCUAGACAGACUGCCGUGGACAACACGGAGGAAGGUGGGGAUGACGUCAAAUCAUCAUGCCCCUUAUGAUCUGGGCUACACACGUGCUACAAUGGCCGGUACAACGGGCAGCGAAGGAGCGAUCCGGAGCGAAUCCUAAAAAGCCGGUCCCAGUUCGGAUUGCAGGCUGAAACUCGCCUACAUGAAGUUGGAGUUGCUAGUAAUCGUGAAUCAGAAUGUCACGGUGAAUACGUUCCCGGGCCUU
rnacentral:rRNA from 1 species